rnacentral:sRNA from 2 species
UAUUCUGCCCAUGCGGGAAGGAUGAGAAGCUUCGACUAAGGUUCGAUUCGAGCGUUAGCGAGAAAGCGUUGCCGCAGGCAACGACCCGAAGGGCGAAGCGCGCAGCGCUGAGUAAUCCUUCCCCCACCACCA